CACCUCUAGCAUUACAAGUAUUAGAGGCACCGCCUGCCCAGUGACUUAAGUUAAACGGCCGCGGUAUCCUGACCGUGCAAAGGUAGCAUAAUCAUUUGUUCCUUAAUUAGGGACUUGUAUGAAUGGCAAGACGAGGGUUUAACUGUCUCUUACAUUUAAUCCAUGAAAUUGACAUUUCCGUGAAGAGGCGGAAAUAAAAUAAUAAGACGAGAAGACCCUAUGGAGCUUAAAUUAAUUUUCUACUUAAUAUUAACCAAGUCCUAAUAGGUCUAACAUUUAACUAUCUAGAAAGGCAAUUUUGGUUGGGGUGACCUCGGAGAAAAAAUAAUCCUCCGAAAGACCAAGACCUAGACCAACAAGUCAAAGUUACCUAAUGUCUAUAUUGACCCAGACAUACUGAUCAAUGGACCAAGUUACCCUAGGGAUAACAGCGCAAUCCCAUUAGAGAGUUCAUAUCGAUAAUGGGGUUUACGACCUCGAUGUUGGAUCAGGACAUCCAAAUGGUGCAGCAGCUAUUAAAGGUUCGUUUGUUCAACGAUUAAAGUCCU
rnacentral:rRNA from 1 species